CCCUUAGAUGUUCUGGGCCGCACGCGCGCUACACUGACGAUGGCAACGAGUUUUUCCUUCGCCGAAAGGUGUGGGUAAUCUUUUGAAACAUCGUCGUGCUGGGGAUAGAUCAUUGCAAUUUUUGAUCUUGAACGAGGAAUUCCUAGUAAGCGCGAGUCAUCAGCUCGCGUUGAUUACGUCCCUGCCCUUUGUACACACCGCCCGUCGCUACUACCGAUUGAAUGGUUUAGUGAGGACUCCUGAUUGGCGCCGCCGCCCCGGCAACGGAGCAGCGGACUGCCGAAAAGUUGUUCAAGCUUGAUCAUUUAGAGGAAGUAAAAGUCGUAACA
rnacentral:rRNA from 1 species